GGUCGCACUUUUGUGCUCUCAUCAGCUCCCAUUCUUAUCUCUAAGAAAAGAGGAGGGGCGUACGCCCCUCUUCUUUUCUUCACGUAUUCAGCCAAAAGGAGGGGCAUAGCCCCUCCCUCUUCUCCCUAUUUCACGCACGCCCACUUAAUCCAAUUAAGUGGGGUGUGGGGCCAUGUACAAGGUGGGUCUAAUCCUCUUCCAAAGAGGAUUGAGUGCACCAAUUUCCUUUUUCCUUCAAAUCCUAAUCUAAUUAGGAUUCAAUUGAACCAUGACUCAAUUGAACUCUUCAAUCCUAAUCCAAUUAGGAGUCUUUUAAUUAAUU
rnacentral:lncRNA from 1 species